UACCUGGUUGAUCCUGCCAGUAGUCAUAUGCUUGUCUCAAAGAUUAAGCCAUGCAUGUCUAAGUACAUGCCGUAUUAAGGCGAAACCGCGAAUGGCUCAUUAAAUCAGUUAUGGUUCCUUGGAUCGUACCUUACUACUUGGAUAACUGUGGCAAUCCUAGAGCUAAUACAUGCAGCAGAGCUCCGACCCUCUGGGGACGAGCGCUUUUAUUAGACCAAAACCAAUCGGACCUCGUGUCCGUAUUAUGUGGUGACUCUGUAUAACUUUGGGCUGAUCGCACGGGCUCGUCCCGGCGACGUAUCUUUCAAGUGUCUGCCUUAUCAACUGUCGAUGGUAGGUUACGCGCCUACCAUGGUCGUAACGGGUGACGGGGAAUCAGGGUUCGAUUCCGGAGAGGGAGCCUGAGAAACGGCUACCACAUCCAAGGAAGGCAGCAGGCGCGCAAAUUACCCACUCCCAGAACGGGGAGGUAGUGACGAAAAAUAACAAUACGGGACUCUUUUGAGACCCCGUAAUUGGAAUGAGUACACUCUAAAUCCUUUAACGAGGAUCAAUUGGAGGGCAAGUCUGGUGCCAGCAGCCGCGGUAAUUCCAGCUCCAAUAGCGUAUAUUAAAGUUGUUGCGGUUAAAAAGCUCGUAGUUGGAUCUCAGUUCCAGACGGGUGGUCCGCCUACCGGUGGUUACUGCCUGUUCUGAACAGCCAGCCGGUUUCUCUUGAUGAUCUUCACCGGUUGUCUUGGGUGACCGGCAAGUUUACUUUGAAAAAAUUAGAGUGCUCAAAGCAGGCGUGACGCCUGAAUAAUGGUGCAUGGAAUAAUGGAAUAGGACCUCGGUUCUAUUUUGUUGGUUUUCGGAAUACGAGGUAAUGAUUAAGAGGGACAGACGGGGGCAUUCGUAUUGCGACGCUAGAGGUGAAAUUCUUGGACCGUCGCAAGACGAACUACUGCGAAAGCAUUUGCCAAGAAUGUUUCCAUUAAUCAAGAACGAAAGUUAGAGGUUCGAAGGCGAUCAGAUACCGCCCUAGUUCUAACCAUAAACGAUGCCAGCCAGCGAUCCGGCUGUGUUCCUCAAAUGACACGCCGGGCAGCUUCCGGGAAAAAAAAAAGAUCAUUGCGUGCAGAACGACUUACGUGGGGAAAUUUUGAUUUCUG
rnacentral:ncRNA from 1 species